GAAGCCCCUUUUGGGGGUGACGGUACUUGCAGAAGAAGCGCCGGCUAACUACGUGCCAGCAGCCGCGGUAAUACGUAGGGCGCAAGCGUUAUCCGGAAUUAUUGGGCGUAAAGAGCUCGUAGGCGGUUUGUCGCGUCUGCCGUGAAAGUCCGAGGCUCAACCUCGGAUCUGCGGUGGGUACGGGCAGACUAGAGUGAUGUAGGGGAGACUGGAAUUCCUGGUGUAGCGGUGAAAUGCGCAGAUAUCAGGAGGAACACCGAUGGCGAAGGCAGGUCUCUGGGCAUUUACUGACGCUGAGGAGCGAAAGCAUGGGGAGCG
rnacentral:rRNA from 1 species